AUACGGAGGAUCCGAGCGUUAUCCGGAUUUAUUGGGUUUAAAGGGUGCGCAGGCGGCCAUUUAAGUCAGCGGUUAAAUCGUGGGGCUCAACCCCAUUCUGCCGUUGAUACUGGGUGGCUUGAUUGCGGUCGAGGUUGGCGGAAUUCGUUGCGUAGCGGUGAAAUGCAUAGAUAUGACGAAGAACACCGAUUGCGUAGGCAGCUGACCAGACCGCAAAUGACGCUCAUGCACGAAAGUGCGGGGAUCGAACAGGAUUAGAUACCCUGGUAGUCCGCACAGUAAACGAUGAAUACUUGUUUUCGGCGAUAUAAUGUCGGAGGCAAAGCGAAAGCGAUAAGUAUUCCACCUGGGGAGUACGCCGGCAACGGUGAAACUCAAAGGAAUUGACGGG
rnacentral:rRNA from 1 species